AGUGAACGCUGGCGGCAGGCCUAACACAUGCAAGUCGAACGGCAGCACAGUAAGAGUUUGUUUUUACGGGUGGCGACUGGCGGAUGGGUGAGGAAUACAUCGCCUACCUAUAUUUCGUGGGGGAUGACGUGGGGCAAGUUACGCUAAUAGAGCAUAUGUUCAACGGGUUGAAUCAGGGGAUCUUCGCACUUUGCGUGUCUCAAUGAGACGAGGUCGGAUUAGCUAGUUGGGGUGGUAAGGUCACACCAAGGCGACGAUACGUAGCUGGACUGAGAGGAUGAUCAGCCACACUGGAACUGAGACACGGUCCAGACUCCUACGGGAGGCAGCAGUGGGGAAUAUUGGACAAUGGGCGCAAGCCUGAUCCAGCCAUACCGCGUGGGUGAAGAAGGCCUUCGGGUUGUAAAGACCUUUUAUUGGGAAAGAAAAGCAGCAGGAUAAUACCCCGCUGUUCUGACGGUACCCAAAGAAUAAGCACCGGCUAACUUCGUG
rnacentral:rRNA from 1 species